AUGAGCCACAGGAGGCAUGAAAUGUAUCCUCAGAUCUCUCCUAAUUUCCCAUGACCAUGAGAGAGUCAUAUAAUCUGUAUGAGCCUGUCUUCCCAAAACCUGAGAUGAGAACAGUUGACUAGAGCUUUCUAAGGAAAGCUCUGUAGACAACGAUUGUAACAGAACUGAGAAAGUGAAACCGAAAAGUGGAAAUACAACUCUAGUGCCCUGAGGAAGAUGAUGAAUGAGUUAAGGGUCUCCAUGUCCUGUGUCUUGUGAUACCAGUUCCUCUGGCCUCCUGUUUCAUCCUGUGACUAAGAAAGCCUAACCUCUUGGGAAUGCAGCUCAGUGGAUCUCAGCCUUAUUUCACCUGGCCUCUAUUCAAGAUGGAAUCAUUCUGGUUCCAACACCUCUGACAUUAACACUCAAGAUUAGAUAAAUUCCAGCAUCAGUGGCAUUUGUAGAACAUAAUCUUUAAAAUAUCUACUGUUUAGAAAUAAUACUUAUAAGAAUAAAAGAAGGCCGGGCACGGUGGCUCACGCCUGUAAUCCCAGCACUUUGGGAGGCCAAGGCGGGUGGAUCACUUGAGACCAGGAGUUCAAAACCAGCCUGGCCAACAUGGUGAAAUCUCAUCUCUACUAAAAAUUAAAAUAUACAUAUUAGCCAGACAUGGUCGUGCACACCUCUAAUCACAGCUACUCGAGUGGCUGAGACAUGAGAAUUGCUUGAAUCUGGAGAUGGAGGUUGCUGU